CGGGGGGCAGCAGUAAGGAAUAUUGGGCAAUGGACGCAAGUCUGACCCAGCCAUGCCGCGUGAAGGAUGACGGUCCUCUGGAUUGUAAACUUCUUUUAUCUGGGGCGAAAACCACCCUUUCUAGGGUAUUUGACAGUACCAGAUGAAUAAGCACCGGCUAACUCCGUGCCAGCAGCCGCGGUAAUACGGAGGGUGCAAGCGUUAUCCGGAUUCACUGGGUUUAAAGGGUGCGUAGGCGGGCAGGUAAGUCAGUGGUGAAAUCUUCGAGCUUAACUCGGAAACUGCCGUUGAUACUAUCUGUCUUGAAUUUAGUGGAGGUAAGCGGAAUAUGUCAUGUAGCGGUGAAAUGCUUAGAUAUGACAUAGAACACCAAUUGCGAAGGCAGCUUGCUACACUAUUAUUGACGCUGAGGCACGAAAGCGUGGGGAUCAAACAGGAUUAGAUACCCGAGU
rnacentral:rRNA from 1 species